GACAGAGGGGGCAAGCGUUGCUCGGAAUCACUGGGCGUAAAGGGCGCGUAGGCGGGAUGGCAAGUCGGUCGUGAAAUCUCUCGGCUCAACCGAGAAACGUCGGCCGAUACUGCCGUUCUUGAGGGAUGCAGAGGAGACUGGAAUUCCCGGUGUAGUGGUGAAAUGCGUAGAUAUCUGGAGGAACACCGGUGGCGAAGGCGGCAUUCUGGGACCGAAACUGACGCUGAGGCGCGAAAGCCAGGGGAGCAAACGGG
rnacentral:rRNA from 1 species